rnacentral:rRNA from 1 species
GACGAACGCUGGCGGCGUGCCUAAUACAUGCAAGUCGAACGAAGCUGUUUUAACUGGUGCUUGCACCGACUUAAACAACUGAGUGGCGAACGGGUGAGUAACACGUGGGUAACCUGCCACAAAGCGGGGGAUAACGUUUGGAAACAGAUGCUAAUACCGCAUAACCACAGAAACCACAUGGUUUCUGUGUCAAAGAUGGUUUCGGCUAUCACUUUGGGAUGGAACCGCGGCGUAUUAGCUAGUUGGUAAGGUAAUGGCUUACCAAGGCAAUGAUACGUAGCCGAACUGAGAGGUUGAUCGGCCACAUUGGGACUGAGACACGGCCCAAACUCCUACGGGAGGCAGCAGUAGGGAAUCUUCCACAAUGGACGAAAGUCUGAUGGAGCAACGCCGCGUGAGUGAAGAAGGUUUUCGGAUCGUAAAACUCUGUUGUCAGAGAAGAACGUGUGCGAGAGUAACUGCUCGUGCAGUGACGGUAUCUGGCCAGAAAGCCACGGCUAACUACGUGCCAGCCGCCGCGGUAA